rnacentral:rRNA from 1 species
AUUGAACGCUGGCGGAAUGCUUUACACAUGCAAGUCGAACGGCAGCACGGGGGCGACCCUGGUGGCGAGUGGCGAACGGGUGAGUAAUACAUCGGAACGUGCCCGGUCGUGGGGGAUAACGUAGCGAAAGUUACGCUAAUACCGCAUACGAUCUGAGGAUGAAAGCGGGGGACCUUCGGGCCUCGCGCGAUCGGAGCGGCCGAUGUCAGAUUAGGUAGUUGGUGGGGUAAAGGCCUACCAAGCCGACGAUCUGUAGCUGGUCUGAGAGGACGACCAGCCACACUGGGACUGAGACACGGCCCAGACUCCUACGGGAGGCAGCAGUGGGGAAUUUUGGACAAUGGGCGCAAGCCUGAUCCAGCCAUUCCGCGUGCAGGACGAAGGCCUUCGGGUUGUAAACUGCUUUUGUAUGGAACGAAAAGGCUCUGGCUAAUACCUGGGGCUCAUGACGGUACCGUAAGAAUAAGCACCGGCUAACUACGUG